AGGUUACUGCUAUCGGUGUUCGCCUAAGCCAUGCGAGUCAUAUGUUCGUAAGAACAUGGCGUACUGCUCAGUAACACGUGGAUAACCUGCCCUUGGGUCCGGCAUAACCCCGGGAAACUGGGGAUAAUUCCGGAUAACGCACAUAUGCUGGAAUGCUUUAUGCGUAAAAUGGAUUCGUCUGCCCAAGGAUGGGUCUGCGGCCUAUCAGGUAGUAGUGGGUGUAAUGUACCUACUAGCCUACGACGGGUACGGGUUGUGAGAGCAAGAGCCCGGAGAUGGAUUCUGAGACAUGAAUCCAGGCCCUACGGGGCGCAGCAGGCGCGAAAACUUUACAAUGCGGGAAACCGUGAUAAGGGGACACCGAGUGCCAGCAUCCUAUGCUGGCUGUCCGGGUGUGUAAAAUACACCUGUUAGCAAGGGCCGGGCAAGACCGGUGCCAGCCGCCUCGGUAACACCGGCGGCCCGAGUGGUGAUCGUGAUUAUUGGGUCUAAAGGGUCCGUAGCCGGUUUGGUCAGUCCUCCGGGAAAUCUGACAGCUUAACUGUUAGGCUUUCGGAGGAUACUGCCAGACUUGGAACCGGGAGAGGUAAGAGGUACUACAGGGGUAGGAGUGAAAUCUUGUAAUCCCUGUGGGACCACCUGUGGCGAAGGCGUCUUACCAGAACGGGUUCGACGGUGAGGGACGAAAGCUGGGGGCACGAACCGGAUUAGAUACCCGGGUAGUCCCAGCUGUAAACGAUGCUCGCUAGGUGUCAGGCAUGGCGCGACCGUGUCUGGUGCCGCAGGGAAGCCGUGAAGCGAGCCACCUGGGAAGUACGGCCGCAAGGCUGAAACUUAA
rnacentral:rRNA from 1 species